rnacentral:rRNA from 1 species
GAUGAACGCUGGCGGCAUGCCUAACACAUGCAAGUCGAGCGAUUUACUUCGGUAAAGAGCGGCGGACGGGUGAGUAACGCGUGGGUAACCUGCCCUGUACACACGGAUAACAUACCGAAAGGUAUGCUAAUACGAGCUAAUAUACUUUUAUCGCAUGGUAGAAGUAUCAAAGCUUUUGCGGUACAGGAUGGACCCGCGUCUGAUUAGCUAGUUGGUAAGGUAACGGCUUACCAAGGCGACGAUCAGUAGCCGACCUGAGAGGGUGAUCGGCCACAUUGGAACUGAGACACGGUCCAAACUCCUACGGGAGGCAGCAGUGGGGAAUAUUGCACAAUGGGCGGAAGCCUGAUGCAGCAACGCCGCGUGAGCGAUGAAGGCCUUCGGGUCGUAAAGCUCUGUCCUCAAGGAAGAUAAUGACGGUACUUGAGGAGGAAGCCCCGGCUAACUACGUGCCAGCAGCCGCCGUAUAAC